rnacentral:rRNA from 1 species
GCUAGAUAUGAUUAGUGGCGGACGGGUGAGUAACAUUUAGGAAUCUGCCUAGUAGUGGGGGAUAGCUCGGGGAAACUCGAAUUAAUACCGCAUACGACCUACGGGUGAAAGGGGGCGCAAGCUCUUGCUAUUAGAUGAGCCUAAAUCAGAUUAGCUAGUUGGUGGGGUAAAGGCCCACCAAGGCGACGAUCUGUAACUGGUCUGAGAGGAUGAUCAGUCACACCGGAACUGAGACACGGUCCGGACUCCUACGGGAGGCAGCAGUGGGGAAUAUUGGACAAUGGGGGCAACCCUGAUCCAGCCAUGCCGCGUGUGUGAAGAAGGCCUUUUGGUUGUAAAGCACUUUAAGCAGGGAGGAGAGGCUAAUGGUUAAUACCCAUUAGAUUAGACGUUACCUGCAGAAUAAGCACCGGCUAACUCUGUGCCAGCAGCCGCGGUAAUACAGA